rnacentral:rRNA from 1 species
CCUACGGGGGGCAGCAGUGAGGAAUAUUGGUCAAUGGCCGGAAGGCUGAACCAGCCAUGCCGCGUGAAGGUCAGUGCCCUAUGGGCGUUAAACUUCUUUUGUGCGGGAGCAAUAAUGGUCACGUGUGGCCAGACGAGAGUACCGUACGAAUAAGCAUCGGCUAACUCCGUGCCAGCAGCCGCGGUAAUACGGGGGAUGCAAGCGUUAUCCGGAUUUAUUGGGUUUAAAGGGUGCGCAGGCGGAGGUGCAAGUCAGCGGUCAAAUUGCGGGGCUCAACCCCGUACUGCCGUUGAAACUGCAUCCCUUGAGUGCGCGAGAAGUAUGCGGAAUGCGUGGUGUAGCGGUGAAAUGCAUAGAUAUCACGCAGAACUCCGAUUGCGAAGGCAGCUUACUAAACUGCCACUGACAUUGAUGCUCGAAAGUGUGGGUAUCAAACAGGAUUAGAUACCCCAGUAGUC